GGCAGGAAGGGCCGGGCCGGGGGCGUGCNANCCGAGCCACCGCGGCAUCUCCCGGCCGGGGGCACCGCCGCAGCCCCGAACCGAGCCCGCGGGGAGCAGGCAGCACGCCGGGCGCAGCGAGGGGCGGCUUCGGUGCCUUCGUCCUCCGAAGGGAGGCGGGCAUGCAUCAACUCGGCUGCUCUCUGUGGCGUAAACAUUGGCUGGAGGCAGACUGGUGAUUGCUCCUUCAGGAGGUGGGACUGCUGUAAAACUGAAGGAAAUGAAAUUUCAGGGCAGGAGCUGGAUGAAAAUGCUGCCUGCUAGAAAGCAGAGGGAGGUUCCUCUUGCCAGUGUGCAUCCCCC
rnacentral:lncRNA from 1 species